CCGGAAGUGCUUGGCCACAGUCGCAGCCCCGGCGCCCCGAAGCGGGAAAAAGGCUGGGUGCCGCCGUCCCCCAGCUGCGCAACCCUAGGAACUCUCGGCAAAAAAAAAGAGCAUGAGGAAUUUGAAGACUGAGAGAUGAGUUGUGUAGCACCAACAUUUUCUUUCUGCCUGACCUUCAUACCUGAUGAAUUAAAAGAAAAAAAGAAGCAGUAAACUGCCCCUUCUACCAAUGUCUAAGAUGAACGGGAAAAAUGCAUAUAAAUGGAAUUUUUCUUUUACGUGAUGAUACAGUGUUUUGGUGUCCCAAAGAAAUAAAAUCCAGCACUGUCCAAUUGAAGUAUAAUGCAAGCCACAUUUCUAGUAGCCAUAUUUUAAAAAGUAACAAUAAAGUGUUGAAAUUUACCUUAAUACUGCCUUUUUUAACCAAAUAGGUCCAAAAUAUUAUUAUUUUGACAGGCAUUAUGAGUUGAGUUGUGUCCCCCACAAAAUUCAUGUUGAAGCCCUAACCAGCAGUACCACAGAAUGUGACUAUAUUGAGAGAUGGGGUUUUAAAAGAAGUAAUUAAGUUAAAAUGGUUUCAUUAGGGUGGGCCCUAAUCCAAUAUAACUGAUGUUCUUAUAACAAGAGGCAAUAUGGACAUGGGCACACACAGAGGGAAGAUCAUGUGAUGACAUGAGUCAAGAAGAGAGGCCUCAGAAGAAACCAACCUGACAACACCUGGAUCUCAGACUUCUACCUUCUAGAAUUGUGAAAAAUACAUUUAUCUUGCUUAACCCACCUAGUCUAUGAUAAUUUGUUAUGGCAUCUCUAGCAAACUAAUACAAUAUGUAAUCAAUUAAUGAAAAUAAAAUGUAUUAAUAAG
rnacentral:lncRNA from 1 species